GGGCCAAUGAUGAGAAUCUUAUAUUGUCAUGAAGAGAAGUGAUGACUUAAAAAUCAUGCUCAAUAGGAUUACGCUGAGGCCC
ensembl:snoRNA SNORD115 Small nucleolar RNA SNORD115